rnacentral:rRNA from 1 species
UACGUAGGUGGCAAGCGUUGUCCGGAAUUAUUGGGCGUAAAGAGCUCGUAGGCGGUUUGUCGCGUCUGCUGUGAAAACUCGAGGCUCAACCUCGGGCUUGCAGUGGGUACGGGCAGACUAGAGUGCGGUAGGGGAGACUGGAAUUCCUGGUGUAGCGGUGGAAUGCGCAGAUAUCAGGAGGAACACCGAUGGCGAAGGCAGGUCUCUGGGCCGCAACUGACGCUGAGGAGCGAAAGCAUGGGGAGCGAACAGG